GGCAGCACCACAACGCGCUUUCCGUUUGUCUUUGGUUUCUCUUGUACCAAUUACUUGCCUACAAGGAAGGACACAGAAGCUGUGCUGUGCUGUAAUAAUGCCUUUCUAUUCUGUCUUUUGUUCGUUCGAGUUACAAUUACAAGCUUCAAGAUCAUUCUACAAUAAUGCAUCUAUGUAGUUGAACUUCAUUGCAUAGAUGCAUCUUGAAAAUUAUUUAUAUCCUGCUAUGUUUCUUUCCAUUUUCAGACAUCAGGACUACUUGAAGUUCUCCUACAUCUUCUGAGUUGCCAGUUGCCACAACAAAACCAACAGGAAGCAAGGGAAAGGGAGAAAAGCUGGGAAAUCAGAUUUAACUGAUUAUGAAUAGAAUUGGGAUUACCAAGUGAUGUUUACUGGAUAAUUUUGUUGAGCAUAUUCAUUUAUUAUAAUGAAGGAAUUGUGGCUUUGAAACACAAGGCGUCAAUCCUGAUAUAGUGACAAUGGCAAAGGGAAUCUGUAAUGGGCUUCCACGAAGAGCAGUAGUGACGACGCCUGGGAUUGCUAGUUUUGGGGGAAACCCUGUGUGCUCUGCAGGUGGACUUGCAGUCCUGAGGGUAAUUGACAAAGAGAGGCAUCAAGAACACUAUAUAUACUGAAGUCGGUUCGCACUUGAUUCAUCAUGUGAAACUUCUGCAGCAGAAGCAUGAUAGUAUGUGUUCCUUCUAUAAUAUAUAUUGUACAAAAGAUUUCUGGUGUAUGUUUUUGUUUAUUUGAUCGGCUAGUUCUUGUCGCCCCUCCUCCUCAUAUGUAAUCGAUUUCUACUCCUGUUUAUGUGGCCUGGUGCUUAAUAAAGACCCGAGAUAUGCAGGUAUGCAGCAGAUACUGUUGGUACAAUAGUAGUCCAAAGGUCACUUGGAAAGUAGGUUCUUUAUUAAUCCCUUAAAACUUCUGUAGCAGGCGCAUAGUUGCAUGUCUUCCUAUCAUAUAUGAAUGAUUUGUGUGGUAAUAUGUCUAUUUCUUUUCUAUAGGUAUGUGAAUGUUAACUUUUGCUGCUCCUUGGGGAUGUCGACUACAAUAGGUUCAUUGAAAUCUGUUAGUAGUAGUAAUCAUUUUAGCACCUCAAAUCAAUGCGCUACGUAGGUAUGGUUGAGUUGGUGGUUAAAUGUUUGAUUUUUUGGUCUAGUAUGUUGUAUUUAUUUCUUUAUCAUCCAUGUCAACUCUCAAAUCCCUAUGUACUGUUGCGUCCAAGGGCUCAUUACUAUGUCAUGCUAUUCUAAUGGUGGUGGUAAACUAGCACGUCUGUUUUCUUGAUUUGAGAGCAGGGUGCAAUAAUUUAAGGCUUGUUCUUGGAUUAGCAAAAACUAUUUCUUAGCCGAUGCUGAUCACUGUAGCUGCACAUGAGCUUUGCAAGGUUGCCAAAUCUCAUGCCUUUAGUGACUACGGCUUCUUGAGAUAUGAUCAAAGCUCUAAAAUCAAACAUUGCAAGACAAAUUUCAAACCAAUUUUACACUUGUUCUUGGGAUCUUGUUGUUUUUCCCACUAGAGUCGCAUUUGAAUCUUUGAGCAAUUUGAACUUUGCUAAUUAAAUAUUUUAUUAGGAUACUUUGAGUUUGGAUUAUGAACGUAAUAAACUCUCUUUUCCUCUCUUUCUCUAUAUAUAUGGGGUAGUUGGUAUAAAACAAAGAGGGCAGCUUUGAUGCCAUAGUUGUGUGGAAGCAAAUUGGGUGAAAAAAGUUAACUCUAAUUGCAUAGCUAGAGGGCCAAUAGCAAUUGCCGUAAUUUGAUAAAAUCAAAGAAGGCAAAAUGAUAUUUUCUUCCUUGAAUUUGACAAGGAGUGAGAUUUUAAUACGGUAGCCCUACAAAGCAAUUAUAACGGUUUUAUCGUGGCAAAAUUGAGGACACUUAAUAUUUGCCUUAUUAGAUUAAAAGGACGAUUUUUUAUUUAUCCUAUUUGACAUUACAAUUGAUUCUAUAUAAGAACACUUACUUUCAAUAAAAAUAAGCAAUGACUCAAGUUCUUUUUCCCUCUCGCAAACCCUAGCCUCCCCUCUCUUUUUCUCUCUCUCAAACCCUAGCCUCCCUUACCCUUCCUUCAUCAAUUAGGGGCUGCCAUGGAUGUUUUCAUCCAUGGUAAGCUCCUUUUCCCCUUUUAUUUCCAGUUUUUAAUUUAUUUUCUUGUUUUGUUCAAUAAAUUAGUCUCUCUUUAUGAGAGUUUCUCAAACCCUAUUAUGGGGUUUUUAGUUUCUGUUUUGGAAAUCUUCUUCUCCCCUAUGGGAGUUGUGAGUAUGGUUCUUUUGUUUUUAGGUAUGAGAAAUUAUUCUCAUUGGUUGAAGUUCAAGACUCAACAUGAAGGUAUUGGAAUCUCGGAUGCGGUCAACCUGACUCGAUCAAGAAUGUUCUUCCCAAACUAUAUCAGAAUGAUAGACUUCCUCAUCAAUAGCUGCUUGAUUCAGCAAAUACAAGAGGGUUGUGUUGUAUUGUUCGAUCUGGUUCAUUGUAGUUUCUUCGAAGACGAAUUUGAUUUAGUCUCAUUUAAUUGUAUCUUGUUUUACUUUAAUACCUAUUGUAGAUGUCGUUUGACCUUCAAUUAAUGAAAUUUCUCUUUCAAAAAAAAGCAAUGACUCAAGUUUAAUAUUAUGAAGAGAACUGAACACCUUUCUUAAUAUAAAUAUGUAAUAACUAGUUUAA